GAACCGAGCGAACGUUGUUCGGAAUCACUGGGCUUAAAGGGCGCGUAGGCGGGUGCUCAAGUCCGGGGUGAAAUCCUCCAGCUCAACUGGAGAACUGCCUUGGAUACUGGGUGCCUCGAGUGUGGUAGGGGUGUGCGGAACUAUCGGUGGAGCGGUGAAAUGCGUUGAUAUCGAUAGGAACUCCGGUGGCGAAGGCGGCACACUGGACCACAACUGACGCUGAGGCGCGAAAGCCAGGGGAGCAAACGGGAUUAGAUACCCCGGUAGUCCUGGCCCUAAACGAUGGGUACUAGCUAGUAGGGUUCACAUGGCUUUACUGGCGAAGCAAAAGUGCUAAGUACCCCGCCUGGGGAGUAUGGUCGCAAGGCUGAA
rnacentral:rRNA from 1 species